UGGGGAAUAUUGCACAAUGGGGGAAACCCUGAUGCAGCGACGCCGCGUGAGCGAUGAAGGCUUUCGAGUCGUAAAGCUCUGUCCUAUGGGAAGAUAAUGACGGUACCAUAGAAGAAAGCCCCGGCUAAUUACGUGCCAGCAGCCGCGGUAAUACGUAAGGGGCGAGCGUUGUCCGGAAUUAUUGGGCGUAAAGAGUGCGUAGGCGGCAAAUUAAGUCAGGUGUGAAAGCGUGAGGCUUAACCUCAUUAAGCACUUGAAACUGAUAGACUUGAGUGAAGGAGAGGAAAGUGGAAUUCCUAGUGUAGCGGUGAAAUGCGUAGAUAUUAGGAGGAAUACCGGUGGCGAAGGCGACUUUCUGGACUUUUACUGACGCUCAGGUACGAAAGCGUGGGGAGCAAACAGG
rnacentral:rRNA from 1 species